UGAACAUCUUUGGUGAAUCUUCUUUCAUCGGAGGGACAUAAAUCUCUCAGAUUUUUAUUAAAAUAUCUCAGCUUUUCUUUUGAAGAUGAACGAAAGUCUUAGAUGGUUUGGAGCAUCUUAAGGGUGAGUGAUGACAGAAUUCAAAUUGUUUUGGGGGAACUAUGAAAUUAAUUAGAAAAUAUAGCGGUAUGUUCUUAUUUUUACCAGCUUCUGCAAGCGCGUAUGGCGUCUGGCUUUUGGAACCUCACUGUGACUUCAGAUAAGAACAAAGAUUAAAUUGUAAGAAGGGUUGCUUAUAUGAGAGCAUACAGUACAUCUGAAACUGCUGAGGCUGGGAAGGCUUUUGACUAUAUUACCGACCAGAUCAGCUGCUAUAGAAGACAAACUGAAAUCUGAGUGCAGAGACAAGCAAAGGAAUACUGCAAGGCUCUGGUGCAAAAUAUUGUAUGCCAGGAGUCAGGACGACUAGGCUGUGCCCAGGUCUCCAGAACCUGCGACGACGCUCAGCUCCAUCAGCCCUCCAUCUGCGCCUUCGGAUCCACCAGCUCUGUCUCCAUCGGUCGGCCCCCAGAUGUUGGCAGCCACACCAUCUACAUCUUGGCUCCUCGCUCCCUCGAUUCCGCCGUGUGUUGUCAGCACUGGGAUGCUCUGGGUCUGUGCCAUGUGCCAAACACCAUCUAAGCUGCCAGGGCAUCAUCGUCAUCCUCCCAUCACCAUCCCUUCGCCACAUCCUGCCAUCAUCCCCGCACUUUUGCCUCUCACCAUCCCUACGCCAUCUCCUUGUCCACCUCCAAAACCCCCUCCAUCCCUCCCUAUUCUGUUGCUUGAACUUUAUCAUCUUCAGUCUUUGAAAAACAAAGUGCAUAAGUG